UAAGCAUCACUCUACUCAUCCGUUAUCUCCUCCCAAUCACCGUCGCGUUGUGUUCUCAUCUUCUCAAUGUCUUCUCUUCAAUUCUUCUAAUUUCUGAAUUCUCCUUUUUUCAAUCUCUUUCCUUUACAUCAAGCUUCAAUCUUUCACUCAACAUGUCUCUAUUCCUAAAAGCAAUGCCAUUGAUGGUUCUUCGACCUAGACCAUCCUUUUUCUUUCAUUCUAGGGUUUCCACUACAAUUCCAACGUUAGUUUCAACUACCAGAACCGUUUCUUCUCUUUCAGCUUCGAUUCAACCACUUCCUUCUGCCUCUGAAACACUCACUUCCAAUGCUAAACCACCACCACCGCUUUUACCCUUCAAUGAAUCGCUUCAAUGGGUUACAAGGACUCAUUUUUGUGGCGAAUUGUCUUUGAAUGAUGUUGGUAAAAAGGUUCAGCUUUGUGGUUGGGUUGCACUUCAUAGAGUCCACGGUGGACUCACUUUUCUUAAUCUUAGAGACCAUACCGGGAUUGUUCAGGUUACAACACUUCCGGAUGAUUUUCCACUUGCACAUUCUGUUAUCAAUGAUCUCAGAUUGGAGUAUGUCGUUUCCAUUGAAGGUGUCGUCAGGUCACGUCCGAAUGAAUCAAUCAACAAGAAGAUGAAAACAGGCUUCAUCGAGGUUGCUGCAAAUGAGGUUCACGUGUUGAAUUCUGUGAAUUCAAAGUUACCAUUCUUAGUUACUACAUCAGAUGAUGCAAAAGAUUCUCUUAAAGAGGAAAUCCGUUUGAGGUAUCGAUGUCUUGAUCUAAGAAGGCAGCAAAUGAAUUUUAACAUAUUGCUGCGGCAUAAAGUGGUUAAACUCAUACGAAGACAUCUAGAAGACAUACAUGGUUUUGUGGAGAUUGAAACUCCAAUACUGUCGAGAUCCACACCAGAAGGUGCCCGAGAUUAUUUAGUUCCAUCAAGAGUCCAGCCAGGAACAUUCUACGCAUUGCCUCAAAGCCCUCAGCUAUUCAAACAAAUGCUAAUGGUUGCUGGUUUUGAUAAAUAUUAUCAAGUAGCAAGAUGUUUUCGAGAUGAAGAUUUAAGAGCUGAUAGACAACCGGAGUUCACACAACUAGAUAUGGAAAUGGCUUUUACUCCUUUAGAGGAUAUGUUGACUCUUAAUGAAGAGUUGAUCAGAAAGGUUUUUCUUGAAAUUAAGGGUGUGGAAUUACCAAAUCCUUUCCCUAGGCUUACUUAUGCUGAAGCAAUGAAUAGAUAUGGUUCGGACCGGCCAGAUACCAGAUUUGAUCUCGAAUUAAAAGAUGUAUCUGACAUUUUCUCCGGGUCUUCCUUCAAGGUUUUCUCUGAUUCCUUGGAGAGUGGAGGAAUUAUAAAAGUGUUGUGUGUACCUAAUGGUGCAAAAAAGUAUUCAAACUCAACUCUUAAGAAAGGUGAUAUUUACAAUGAAGCAUUCAAAUCUGGUGCAAAGGGUUUACCUUUUCUCAAGAUCACGGAGAAUGGGGAUAUUGAGGGAAUUUCUGCUUUAGUAUCAAGUAUGGAUCCUGCAACUAAAGAUGAUUUAUUAAGGCGAUGCUCUGCUGGACCGAAUGAUCUGAUUUUAUUUGCAGUUGGUCAUCAUGCAUUUGUAAAUAAAACUCUAGAUCGUCUUAGAGUUUAUGUGGCACAUGAAUUAGGUUUAAUCGAACAUGACAGACAUUCAAUUUUGUGGAUUACCGACUUUCCAAUGUUUGAGUGGAAUGAUUCAGAGCAGAGGCUUGAGGCUCUUCAUCAUCCUUUCACCGCACCAAAUCCUGAAGACAUGAACGACCUUGCUACUGCUCGUGCGUUGGCAUAUGACAUGGUUUACAAUGGAGUGGAGAUUGGUGGGGGAAGUUUGAGAAUUUAUAAACGCGACAUACAACAAAAGGUUUUGGAGAUUGUAGGCAUCUCUAUGGAGCAGGCUGAAGCAAAGUUUGGCUAUCUUCUUGAAGCACUUGACAUGGGGGCUCCGCCACAUGUUAAAAUGGACGGUUGCAUUGCAUUGCCAGCCAAGCUAGAGGGGGUAUCAAAUGUUUCAAUUUGCCUAAAAAUUUACAACUAAUCAUCACUUCAAAUAUCUACAAUAGCAACAAAUAAAAAAGCAUGAUUAUGGUCUUCACUCUACCACAUAGUCUGGAUUAUUCUUCAAAAUUACCAUACCUUCAAGAAUUGGUGAUAGAGCUAGCUCUGCCAUAUCCCCGACAGCCAGGAGAACAGGGGUGGAAUGGGUCCGAAAACCAGUGAUUAUCUUGGGACGACCAGCCUGUCCAACGCCAACUGCUUGACCAACUCGAACAGGCACCGUUAGAAGCUUCAAGUUGUUCAUGCUAUGGUCAUGCCACCAACUGUAAGUGACAAGAAGUACUCAACACAUGAGUGUCCUUAUCUUAGCCUUGGGGACAAGGCUAUUUUUCUAGCGGACAGUAGUGAUAGGACAAGGCUAUUUUUCUAGCGGACAGUAGUGAUAGGACACUGGCAUUGGGCCUAAGCCCAAUAACCAAGCUGAAUGGAAGAGUUAGGAAAAGAGCUACUGAUGUGGCGUGGCAGUUGGUUAGGACGUGCAAGGGUUUAUAGGGUUAAAGUGGUGAGACUGGGAGGCUCAUUCAGAAAAGUUGUUAGUAUUCAGGUUGGAGAAAGUAUUCUCUGGUUAGGAGCCUAGAUCUGUUUAGGAGUUCUUGAGCUCCAGUUUAUCUUUUCUUUCAUCACUGUAAGUGAGCUUUGCUCCAUUUUCAUUCUCGAUACAAACAGAUUUUCCAUUAUGAAUUCACAGGUUCCAUCAUAAUGUAUAUUCAUUUUUAUGUUAUGUAAGCAUAUGAGAGAAAUAUUGCUUACAAUUACUAAUUUGCAG